UACGGAGGAGGCAAGCGUUAUCCGGAAUUAUUGGGCGUAAAGCGUCCGCAGGUGGCACUUCAAGUCUGCUGUCAAAGACCGGGGCUUAACCCCAGAAAGGCAGUGGAAACUGAAGUGCUAGAGUGCAGUAGGGGUAGAGGGAAUUCCCGGUGUAGCGGUGAAAUGCGUAGAGAUCGGGAAGAACAUCGGUGGCGAAAGCGCUCUGCUGGACUGCAACUGACACUCAGGGACGAAAGCGGAGGGAGCAAUGGG
rnacentral:rRNA from 1 species